rnacentral:rRNA from 1 species
UACGUAGGGUGCAAGCGUUAAUCGGAAUUACUGGGCGUAAAGCGUGCGCAGGCGGUGAUGUAAGACAGAUGUGAAAUCCCCGGGCUCAACCUGGGAACUGCAUUUGUGACUGCAUCGCUGGAGUACGGCAGAGGGGGAUGGAAUUCCGCGUGUAGCAGUGAAAUGCGUAGAUAUGCGGAGGAACACCGAUGGCGAAGGCAAUCCCCUGGGCCUGUACUGACGCUCAUGCACGAAAGCUAGGGGAGCGAACGGG